rnacentral:rRNA from 1 species
CACGUAGGGGCGGAGCGUUGUCCGGAUUCAUUGGGCGUAAAGAGCUCGUAGGCGGCUCAGCAAGUCGGGUGUGAAAACUACCAGGCUCAACCUGGAGACGCCACUCGAUACUGCUGUGGCUAGAGUCCAGUAGGGGAGGCGUGGAAUUCCCGGUGUAGCGGUGAAAUGCGCAGAUAUCGGGAGGAACACCAGCGGCGAAGGCGGCGCUCUGGGCUGGGACUGACGCUGAGGAGCGAAAGCGUGGGGAGCAAACAGGAUUA